rnacentral:rRNA from 1 species
UACGAAGGGGGCUAGCGUUGCUCGGAAUUACUGGGCGUAAAGGGCGCGUAGGCGGACAGUUUAGUCAGAGGUGAAAGCCCAGGGCUCAACCUUGGAAUUGCCUUUGAUACUGGCUGUCUUGAGUUCGGGAGAGGUGAGUGGAAUGCCGAGUGUAGAGGUGAAAUUCGUAGAUAUUCGGCGGAACACCAGUGGCGAAGGCGACUCACUGGCCCGAUGCUGACGCUGAGGCGCGAAAGCGUGGGGAGCAAACAGG